CAACCCUCGAGCCCUGCUCGGUGAUGGGCCCCCGUCCGUUACGGACGGGCCUGAAACUGGUGGGCGCCUCUGUCCGGCCCCGAGCGUAGCAAGAGAAAUCCCUCGCUCGGUGGAUCGUCCGGUGGCAGCCCCGACCUAAACUUUUACAA
rnacentral:misc_RNA from 1 species